rnacentral:rRNA from 1 species
GACGAACGCUGGCGGCGUGCUUAACACAUGCAAGUCGAGCGGUCUGGGGGCAACUCCAGGCAGCGGCGGACGGGUGCGUAACACGUGGAUAAUCUGCCCUAGAGACGGGGAUAACCAGCCGAAAGGUUAGCUAAUACCCGGUAAGCUCACGGACCCGAAGGGGUCAGGGAGAAAAGUCGCAAGACGCUCUAGGAUGAGUCCGCGGCCCAUCAGGUAGUUGGCGGGGUAAAGGCCCACCAAGCCUACGACGGGUAGCUGGUCUGAGAGGACGACCAGCCACACUGGAACUGAGACACGGUCCAGACUCCUACGGGAGGCAGCAGUGGGGAAUUUUGCGCAAUGGACGAAAGUCUGACGCAGCAACGCCGCGUGGGUGAUGAAGGUCUUCGGAUUGUAAAACCCUGUCGUCGGGGACGAAGGUAGGAGGGUUAAUAGCCCUUUUGCUUGACGGUACCCGGAGAGGAAGCCCCGGCUAACUCUGUGCCAGCAGCCGCGGUAAU